rnacentral:rRNA from 1 species
AGCGAACGCUGGCGGUAGGCCUAACACAUGCAAGUCGAACGGCAGCACAGUAAGAGCUUGCUCUUACGGGUGGCGAGUGGCGGACGGGUGAGGAAUACAUCGGAAUCUACUUUUUCGUGGGGGAUAACGUAGGGAAACUUACGCUAAUACCGCAUACGACCUGCGGGUGAAAGCAGGGGAUCUUCGGACCUUGCGCGAUUGAAUGAGCCGAUGUCGGAUUAGCUAGUUGGCGGGGUAAAGGCCCACCAAGGCGACGAUCCGUAGCUGGUCUGAGAGGAUGAUCAGCCACACUGGAACUGAGACACGGUCCAGACUCCUACGGGAGGCAGCAGUGGGGAAUAUUGGACAAUGGGCGCAAGCCUGAUCCAGCCAUACCGCGUGGGUGAAGAAGGCCUUCGGGUUGUAAAGCCCUUUUGUUGGGAAAGAAAAGCAGCAGGUUAAUACCCCGCUGUUCUGACGGUACCCAAAGAAUAAGCACCGGCUAACUUCGUG